UUUCAUAUCGAUUGGGUUUAUAUUCAACCAGGGCGCAACAGCACAUUUUCUGAGGGGUAUGCGAGAUCAGUUUUGGAUAAUAGAGUUAAGAAAUUGCAACAAACGCGAAUUUUAAUGCAAAUUAACAUGUUUCCUUCAACCAUAUAUUCUAUUCAAAUAACGUGUUAAUUCACUUUCUUAUAAUCGACAAUUGAAUGCAAACUCAGCUGAUGAUGGCCAUUUGCCUUUUCUAAUGAUCAAAACAACAGAAAAGCCCACAAGUUAAAUUGUCAUAUCGUUAGAUAUUUAAACAGGCUCAUUAGCUAUUACGUUUAACAAGACAAAGCAAUUAUUCAAGAUAUUACAUUUUUCACUUAACAGGUCAAUCAUUCCUAGGCUCUGAACACAAAAGCAACAUGUCCAUGGAUAGUGGUGCUGGAGGAACGGACAGUGGCGAUGGCACAUCGUUGCAACUCGAGACAACUCGAGUUUACGUUCUGUUGUAAACAGCUCCAAAGUGAAGGCCAAGAAGCAGAGCCCAAAAAAAGUGCAAUCCUGUCAGUCAUCGAAGGCCAUUCCAUCAGAUACAUGCCCAAGACUGUACUACUGGAUCUGCCAACACCUCUGACCACUCUUUAUGCAAGCCCCAGGCUUGAAAUGGAUUUGCCCGCACUGCUGGAGGAGGGUGCCGAGACCUUUGAGAAGCUGCAUCUCACACCACAGCAGAUGAGGUCUAAAAAAUGAGGACACUGCCAGAGAAUCGUACCUGAGGGCGAUGCAGGACCUCCAAGCAGACCUCCACGUUGCAGCAUCUGGACUGAUAAGUAACCCAGAGGUGCCAUGGAUCGGUGGAUCACCAGAUGGUGUGGUGAUGGUGUUAUAGAUGAAGUGUCCUUUCAGUGCAAAAGACCGCACCCUACAUGAAUGUGUAAAAGACUCAAGGUUCUGUCUGAGGAAGACUCUGAGGAAGGUGUAAUGAGUCUAAAGCUUAAUCACAGUUACAUGCAUCAAGUCCAAGCCCAAAUGUGUGUAGCAGAGGUAACAUACUGUGAUUGUCAAGAACUAUUUAUACAGCGCAUCCCGUUUGAUGAUACAAAAAAAACAAUGUCACAUGUCAAACAAUAGCUGUCAAAACUAAUCUCUUACUGUGUUUGCAACUUACUUUGUGACCCAUUUUACUGAGAUGACAAAUCUGCCAAAUGUCUCUUAUACAUGUACUGUAUGUUAAAGAUGAUGUUUAAGUAAAAAUGAAGCAUUAUCUUUGUCUGUAGUACAUAUUCAGAAAAUGAAAAAAUAAACAAAAUUCAGAAAUAAA